AUUGAACGCUGGCGGACUGCUUUACACAUGCAAGUCGAACGGUAGAGGGGGCAACCCCUCGAGAGUGGCGAACGGGUGAGUAAUAUAUCGGAACGUGCCCAGUCGUGGGGGAUAACGUAGCGCAAGUUACGCUAAUACCGCAUACGAUCUAAGGAUGAAGGCGGGGGAUCGCAAGACCGCGAGCGAUUGGAUCGGCCGAUAUCAGAUUAGGUAGUUGGUGGGGUAAAGGCUCACCAAGCCAACGAUCUGUAGCUGGUCUGAGAGGACGACCGGCCACACUGGAAAUGAGACACGGUCCAGACUCCUACGGGAGGCAGCAGUGGGGAAUUUUGGACAAUGGACGCAAGUCUGAUCCAGCCAUUCCGCGUGCAGGAUGAAGGCCCUCGGGUUGUAAACUGCUUUUGUACGGAACGAAAAGGUCUCUCUUAAUACGGGGGGCUCAUGACGGUACCGUAAGAAUAAGCACCGGCUAACUACGUGCCAGCCGCCGCGGUAA
rnacentral:rRNA from 1 species